AGCGAACGCUGGCGGCAGGCUUAACACAUGCAAGUCGAGCGGGCGUAGCAAUACGUCAGCGGCAGACGGGUGAGUAACGCGUGGGAACGUACCUUUUGGUUCGGAACAACACAGGGAAACUUGUGCUAAUACCGGAUAAGCCCUUACGGGGAAAGAUUUAUCGCCGAAAGAUCGGCCCGCGUCUGAUUAGCUAGUUGGUGAGGUAAUGGCUCACCAAGGCGACGAUCAGUAGCUGGCUGAGAGGAUGAUCAGCCACAUUGGGACUGAGACACGGCCCAAACUCCUACGGGAGGCAGCAGUGGGGAAUAUUGGACAAUGGGCGCAAGCCUGAUCCAGCCAUGCCGCGUGAGUGAUGAAGGCCCUAGGGUUGUAAAGCUCUUUUGUGCGGGAAGAUAAUGACGGUACGCAAGAAUAAGCCCCGGCUAACUUCGUGCCAGCAGCCG
rnacentral:rRNA from 1 species